UUUUAUACCCCUCACAGGCUGUCUGCUGCUGUCGGUGGCUGCCAGCAAGGACGGCCCAUGCAAGCGGUGCCCGGCUUACAGCUACCCUGUCUGUGGGAGCAUGCCCGGCAGCGGCAACUCCACCAGCACCAGCGCCUUUAGGAGCCGCUGCGAGAUGGACCGCUUCAACUGCAUCAACAAGACAGACUUCCAGCUAACGAAGAGGGAUGACUGCGCUGCCUUGCGUGGAAGAAAAGAUAAGCCGCCAUCUACCAGUGGGAUUCCCUGACAAGCAUGACGUUUUGGGUCUCCUUCACUAUUUUACCUUUAUUUUGGCUGUUUAACCGUUACUUGUAUUUUGAUUACAUUAAAGACUGAUAACAAACCAGUAACUCAUGGAUUAGAAAAAAUGAAUACAUUUCAUGUAAGUUGAUUAGUUGUGUAAGUACAGGAUGUAUCCACGGAAUCUGUGUAUUUUAGUCGAAUAUUCUUCGAAUCACUAUCGUGAAAGCAUUUGGUAAAGGCUGGAACUAAUAUAGUGACAAUGACAAAAACUACAAUAAAUACAGAAAUAUUCUUAUA